ACAUGGCGCUGACGUGGCGCUGGCGUGGCAGGGCCAGGGCCAAUUUUGCAAAUAAAUUUUACACAGGGCCAAUUUUGCAAAUAAAAUUUGUCAGGGGGCUAUUUGCAAAAAAAGCCCUAUAUAUAUAUAUAUAGUAGGGCUACUAUACUCUUAUGCGUAUAUAGUUCUUCGUACUCAUAAGUUGUUUUCGAGGUUGGAUUUUUCAAAUCGACGAUCCACACCGUUAAACAUGAUCUAGAGUAUUUGAAACUUCUAGAAAAUAAAUUUCGUAAUUUUUUGAAAUCAUUAUAAAGUCCAUCAAGUGGGUAUAAAAUGAACGGUUAAAAUCGAACGACAUCCUAAAAAAGGAUGAUUGGAUCCUUCAAGUUAAAAUCAGAGUUAUUGAUCUUUAUUUAGGUAGUGAAUAGAAUUUUCUAUCAAAUAUUCAACCUAUUCCGAUUCUUUUUCACCGUUAAACUAACAAAUAUCUCAUACCGGCCGUUAAAAAUUAUCAAUUUUGUG
rnacentral:lncRNA from 1 species